AGAGUUUGAUCAUGGCUCAGAUUGAACGCUGGCGGUAGGCUUAACACAUGCAAGUCGUGCGAGAAAGUAUCUUCGGAUAUGAGUAGAGCGGCGGACGGGUGAGUAACGCGUAGGAAUCUACCUAGUAGAAGGGGAUAGCCCGGGGAAACUCGGAUUAAUACCGUAUACCUCCUUCGGGAGAAAGAAGGCCUCUCUUUGAUGCUUUCGCUAUUAGAUGAGCCUGCGUAAGAUUAGCUUGUUGGUGAGGUAAAGGCUCACCAAGGCAACGAUCUUUAGCUGGUCUGAGAGGACGAUCAGCCACAUUGGGACUGAGACACGGCCCAGACUCCUACGGGAGGCAGCAGUGGGGAAUAUUGGACAAUGGGCGCAAGCCUGAUCCAGCCAUACCGCGUGUGUGAAGAAGGCCUUCGGGUUGUAAAGCACUUUAAGCAGGGAGAAAAAGUUAUAAGUUAAUACCUUAUAACCGUGAUGUUACCUGCAGAAUAAGCACCGGCUAAUUCCGUGCCAGCAGCCGCGGUAAUACGGAAGGUGCAAGCGUUAAUCGGAAUUACUGGGCGUAAAGCGCGCGUAGGUGGUUUGUUAAGUUGGAUGUGAAAGCCCUGGGCUCAACCUAGGAACUGCAUCCAAAACUAACUCACUAGAGUACGAUAGAGGGAGGUAGAAUUCAUAGUGUAGCGGUGGAAUGCGUAGAUAUUAUGAAGAAUACCAGUGGC
rnacentral:rRNA from 1 species